AUUUAAGAAGACGGAUAAUCCGCCGGCCGAUUCCGAGCGGUUGUGCAGGCAGGAAGCUGAUCGUCUGAAGUUCUGGCUUGAGAUGUUGAUAUCUGUAAGCAGUGUCCUCUGUUCCUGACCCAGACCCAGGGCUGAGUGAAGACUGGGCGUAAGGAGACCUGGGUUCUAUUCCUGGAUCAGCCUUAGACAGCCCAAGCCACCGUGGGAGUUCCAGCCAAAAAAGGCUGCACCCAAUUUCUCUGGAGUUUCUCCAAAUUGUAGGAGUUGAGGCAACAAAUCUCUACAGAGAGCUGGGAAUAUUUAAAGCAGGCAGAGGGAUAAAGAGCCCGCAGAGGAAGGACAGAAGAAAGCUGUCUUCUCUCCUGCUCUGUUAACUUGGGGAUCCAGGUGGGGAUGCAUUCCUGAUUUGUCAGCAGUGAGGGUGUGAAAGGUAUUUCCUUGGCUUUCCCCAUCUUUCUAUUUCACAGAUGCUCGGUUUCCUGGAUACGGUCCACCCGGUGUAUCCAGCCAUCGGGGUGAUCCUGGUGGUCCUCUCGCUUGUGUUGGUGGCCCUGUGUCUCAAUCUGCACAGAGCCCACAGAAACGGGCCCGAUGUGGAGAGACAGCGUCACGCAGGGGGUGGAAACCGGGUCUGGUGGAUUCGGCCCCGGCCGCUUCACACGGUAGGACCCUCUAGGGGUCUUCAUCACCACCACCACCACCACCAUCACCACCAUGCUGCUCACAACACUCACCAUGCUCGCCAUCACCCGCAUCACCACCCUCACAAGGCUCACCGCUGAAACCCACAUCCCGGAGCAGGUUUCCGCCUCUCCUCAGUGCCUGGCACAGGAAGAACAAUGCAGGAAAGACUGAAGUCGUUUGGAGUUGACAUCCGCUUACUUUGACACCUGAGAUGAAGAACUAGGAAUGGGUAGUGGGGGAGAAGCCCGGGGCGGGGGAGGUGUUGCAACUGUAUAUGACAAUGAAGAUUUAUAAAAGCAAAGUAAAAUGGUAUGUAACCACACUUACAUGUGAAA